rnacentral:sRNA from 1 species
GAGUGGGUGGGGUUGUUGGGAGCGGCAGCCAGGCUCAAAUCAGAGGAGGCUCUGAAUGUGAAGCAUCCUGGCUUGACGUCUUCUUAGCAGCUGUGUCCCUAUUUGAUUGUCGGUGAAAGCCCAGCUAGUGAUGAGAGAGAAAGGCGAGUACGAAUUCACACAGAGAAGCACCAUCUUCCUGUACCUUGCUUGGUCUUCUGAAAAUCCAAAUCCCCAACUGGAUCAUUGGUGAGGAGGUAGCUGAGUGUGGAUAGUUCUGGUUGUAAGUUCUCUCACCAUAAGGCCUUGCUCUUGUUCGUGCUCUGGCUCUGACUCGUGUCCCAUGUCUCCUCACAUACCUCAUUCUCUGAGGUGACAAAGCCUUUACUGCCCACAGAACAUUUUCUAGCUGGCUGCAUGUUUUUCUGAGUGUCCUUUCCAUUAUUCAAAAGGUCCUUCUGGUUACCUGAAUUAUUCCAUGUUUAAUACAUGAGCAGGAAAUCACAAGAAAAGUGCAAUAAGUUCUAGUAAUAGAACUCUCCUCACACCCAACCAAAAAAAUAAAACUUUUAAGGGAGACGUCAUAAUGAAAUCAUGUACCAUACACUUUUCUUACACUAUUUUUCUCUGCUAACUAUAACAUUUUAUUUAUAUAUCUUUCUCUGUAACAGAGGAGUGUAGAGUCCUUUUCUGAGGUUUCCAUAAACCCAGUGCUAUGCUUAUGUGGAAGUGACAGUGGUGACCUGUACCUAAUUCUGUCCACUCACAACACCAGCCAAUGGGAUGUUGUGGCCCCAGCCUGCAUUUAUGCAUCUAAUUGUGGUCUUCACAUCCUAAAGGCUUCCACUUGGUGGGUGUUCUGAGAUGACUCACAGAUGCUCUGGACUAACAUUUCUAAACCAAAGUUCAUUGUCUCCUCACGUGAGGCUCUUCCUGCUGUCUACAUCGUCAAGGAAUUUGCCUAUGAACUAGAGGCUAAGACACUAUUCUGCCUGCCUGCCUUCCUUCCUUCUCCUUCACGUAAAUAAUCAGGGACCGUGCAUGUCUGCCCCCUAAAUGUUUAUUAUAUUGGGUUCUUCCUAUUCACCCAUGCUGCUUCUUUCCCCCCUUGCUCAUCACGGUUUACACGAAUUCCUUAAUUAGCCUCUACUCUCUUCCACAUUCUGAGCAGUUAACACGACCUCUACUCUGGGAUUUCGAACAUGCAGCCCUCAGGAUCAAUGUCCACAGCAGUUUUUAUUUUGUUGUCUGCCCUCCCCUGACCGUCUCCAUUCAUAAGUCGGUGCUCUUCCUCUGACACUCCCCCAUCACCUUAGAGCAGACUCCAGGCUGCACAUCUGUUACUUGCUUUGUCCAAUGGAACUCUAUGCAUUUGUGCUGCUUGCUGCACAUUUUCUACAAUGACAGUCGACUUAAAAUCCUUCAAUGAUGUGACAUUCUUUAGGGAAGGGUUUUCAAAUUCCUCACCACUGAUACCGGUGCUCUUGCAAUCUGCCUCAAGUAUUUUCCCAGCUUCCCUUUUUUUUUUUUUU